rnacentral:rRNA from 1 species
UACGUAGGGUGCAAGCGUUUAAUCGGAAUUACUGGGCGUAAAGCGUGCGCAGGCGGUUAUGUAAGACAGAUGUGAAAUGCCCGGGCUUAACCUGGGAACUGCAUUUGUGACUGCAUAGCUGGAGUACGGCAGAGGGGGAUGGAAUUCCGCGUGUAGCAGUGAAAUGCGUAGAUAUGCGGAGGAACACCGAUGGCGAAGGCAGUCCCCUGGGCCUGUACUGACGCUCAUGCACGAAAGCGUGGGGAGCAAACAGG